GGCCUCCCUCUGCGGGGCGAUUGAUCAUGGAGCCCCCUGAUUGAUUGCCCUGCAGAGGGUGGCC
rfam:Myotis brandtii contig312667, whole genome shotgun sequence.